rnacentral:rRNA from 1 species
GUGGGGAAUAUUGGACAAUGGGCGAAAGCCUGAUCCAGCCAUGCCGCGUGUGUGAAGAAGGUCUUCGGAUUGUAAAGCACUUUAAGUUGGGAGGAAGGGCAGUAAGUUAAUACCUUGCUGUUUUGACGUUACCGACAGAAUAAGCACCGGCUAACUUCGUGCCAGCAGCCGCGGUAAUACGAAGGGUGCAAGCGUUCAUCGGAAUUACUGGGCUUAAAGCGCGCGUAGGUGGUUUUGUAAGUUGGAGGUGAAAUCCCCGGGCUCAACCUGGGAACUGCCUCCAAAACUGCAUGACUAGAGUACGGUAGAGGGUAGUGGAAUUUCCUGUGUAGCGGUGAAAUGCGUAGAUAUAGAAAGGAACACCAGUGGCGAAGGCGACUACCUGGACUGAUACUGACACUGAGGUGCGAAAGCGUGGGGAGCAAACAGGAUUAGAAACCCUGGUAGUCC